GCCAGCUUUCAUGAUGACUUCUCCACCCUUCCACACACAAGAGUUUGUCACCAGGUCACUUUCUAUACUAAGUCUUUUGGCAUCCCUCAGGAAGCACAUUGUCUUAAAACUAUAGGAGCCUCCAAAAAUAUCAAGGUUAGAUAGACCUGGAAGAACCCAUGUUGCACUUCUGGAUUGGUCAGGGGGCCAAACUAGAGCCUCCUGAACUCAGGAACUACUGACCUUUUUCACACAGAGUCUAUAGCUAGAAAUAGUUCCCUAUGCACAUAUCUGUCCAAGCCUACACUAUAUGUAGAUCUUGAAGGAAACUCAAGCCCCAAAAUAUGAGCAGUCCUUGACUUUGAAACUCAUUUUCUUUAGGUCCUCCACAUUUUUAUAUAUAACUGUCUACUGAAAGAUAUCUCAAGUUUAACAUGCCCAAAACAGAACACUUGCAACAUGUCCCACCCAAGUGUUACUCUUUUGACUCUUCUCUCUUUACCCAGUUGCUGAAUCCAAAAAAAAAAACCUACGAAUAAACCUUGAUCCUUCCCUUUCCUUCACCUUUUAUAUCUACUUCAAAUACCUUGUUUCUACUUUCAAAAUAUAAAGUCAUUUACUUACCUCUACACUUAAGACUGUCAUCCUGGAUCAGACUGCUGUUAUGUCUUGCCUGGACAGUUGAAAUCACCAGUCUCCCUGAUUCCAUUCUUGCUCCCACUACGAUCUUACUAACAAGUAGCCAAGGUGACAGAGCACAUCUGUUGCUUCCUAAAACCCUCCAUUGACCUUCUAAUGCUUUCAAAAAAAAAAAAAAAAAAAGCCUCUUGCCCACCUCUCAGACCUCAUCUCAUAUCACUCUCCAUGUCACUCAUUGAGCUCCAGACCCACUGGCCCCUUUUGCUCUUCCUGAAAAAUGCUAAGUAAUUUCUGACCUAGGGCCUUUGUACUUUGUAGAUCUUCACUUGGAAUUUUUCACUUCUUAAUUGAAAGCCUAUUGCCCAUCUGUAUAAUUAGC
rnacentral:lncRNA from 1 species